UCCGGUUUGUCACCGGCAGUCUCCUUAGAGUUCCCGCCAUUACGCGCUGGCAACUAAGGACAAGGGUUGCGCUCGCUGUGGGACUUAACCCAACAUCUCACGACACGAGCUGACGACAACCAUGCACCACCUGUACGCAGCCCUUGCGGACCCGACAUCUCUGCCGGAUUUCUGCGUAUGUCAAGCCUUGGUAAGGUUCUUCGCGUUGCGUCGAAUUAAGCCACAUGCUCCGCCGCUUGUGCGGGCCCCCGUCAAUUCCUUUGAGUUUUAGCCUUGCGGCCGUACUCCCCAGGCGGGGCGCUUAAUGCGUUAGCUGCGGCACAGAGAACCGGAGAGGUCCCCCACACCUAGCGCCCAACGUUUACAGCGUGGACUAC
rnacentral:misc_RNA from 1 species